rnacentral:lncRNA from 1 species
ACAGACUAAUCAUCUCUGGACAAGUGCAGGCUCCUUCCAGCAAGUUCUCUGCAAAUGAACAGUUUGUAAACUUCAGCUUAUAGAAAACAGAGGUUGCAAAAAACCCCCAGUUCAUGAGGGACCACCUAAAGCACAAGCUGAGACGGAAUGAUGAAAGAGAGCAGUCUCAUUCCUUUACAGUGUGCCAAGUCUUGUCUGAGAGAAGACAGCUAGGGAUAUAACAAGGAGACACCAAUAUGUUCCAGGUAAAAUAUACAUCAAGAGUAAUAUAAAAGCAAGGACAAGUGUUGGGGCACACUGAGCACCACAAACUAGGGGCAGCCAGAAGCAAUAAUUGUAAGAAUCUUAUGUCCAUUUGAGAUAGCGAGUUUUGGAAUUCUGUGCUGUGUCAGAAGUCCACAGACCCUGUUCUGUAUUUCAG